rnacentral:rRNA from 1 species
GAUGAACGCUGGCGGCGUGCCUAAUACAUGCAAGUCGAGCGAAAAGAUGAGGAGCUUGCUCCUCUGACGUUAGCGGCGGACGGGUGAGUAACACGUGGAUAACCUACCUAUAAGACUGGGAUAACUUCGGGAAACCGGAGCUAAUACCGGAUAAUAUAUUGAACCGCAUGGUUCAAUAGUGAAAGACGGUUUUGCUGUCACUUAUAGAUGGAUCCGCGCCGCAUUAGCUAGUUGGUAAGGUAACGGCUUACCAAGGCAACGAUGCGUAGCCGACCUGAGAGGGUGAUCGGCCACACUGGAACUGAGACACGGUCCAGACUCCUACGGGAGGCAGCAGUAGGGAAUCUUCCGCAAUGGGCGAAAGCCUGACGGAGCAACGCCGCGUGAGUGAUGAAGGUCUUCGGAUCGUAAAACUCUGUUAUUAGGGAAGAACAAAUGUGUAAGUAACUAUGCACGUCUUGACGGUACCUAAUCAGAAAGCCACGGCUAACUACGUG